rnacentral:lncRNA from 10 species
CUGGAAGUUACAGCCCUGGGCACAUGUGUGUCCUCCACCACCCAGAGGGCACAACAGCUGUGGCCUUGGGGACCCUCCCCACUGGCCCCAGGCAGUUCUCUACAGCCCAUAGCCCUCCUGAUCCCCAGAUUGUGAGGGCUGCUCAUCCGCCCGGGUGACACCUUCCCAGGGCCCCACUGAACUCUGCUUCUAUCUUGAACCUCUGUGAUUGGAGGUUGUGCUUUUCUCUCAAGGAGCCAGAUCCUUAAACAUCAGAGGGAGUUUCUUCUGAAUGAGCACAAAGUUCCCUGCAUUUUCCUGCCAUCCUCCCUCCCUCUCUCUGUGUCUGCUUCCUGCUUCUCCGGAGCCACCUCCGCCCCUUGUCACUAAUGAGAACUUCUAGAUGCCUGCUUCAGGCCAGGUCAGCCUCUUCAGCCCCACUUCUUAAACUCUCUGCUUUGAUUCUGUCAGUUCUGAAUUACUUUUGUGCUUCUUUUCUUGGUUUGCUAUAACCUCUUUAUGUGGAUAUUUUCAGUAGAGUUUCUUCUUCUCAGAAGCAUUUACUCUUGUAAGACAGUUGUUUCCUCCUGUGCUGCUUGUUUCUUGAACUUAGGAAGGAAUGUCUGGUCAGGAUGGCUUUGAUGGUCUCUGCUUUCAGGAUGCCAUCUGUUUCACAAAAAGUGCCAACACCAGAUCGAAUUUCAAAACAUUAAGCCAUGAGAGACUUUCAUUCAUGCACUAUUACAGAUUAGAUAUCUAGAAAAACACCCCUGGUACAAAACAUGUAAAAUACUGAAUAAAGUUAUUUUUUUCCUGUUUUAAUGCAUGGCUGAGCGGGCAAGAGUGAGCAGAAGUCCAGAGAGGGAAGUGGGGUCAAGGCGAGAGGAGCCACAGCAGUCCCCUGUGGCCAGGCGCAUUGGAUGCAGAACGGCAUCAAAAUCUGAGACCACGCAGGAUGGAAAAUCAGGCCUGAGAGUGCCACAGGGAGCUGGCACCUCCACCAGGGUGGGCUUCUAGGUAAGACUUCUUCUAAAGGAAGUUUCUGUGGAUUUCAUGAAAACAACUGGCAUGAAGGUGAAAAGCAAAGCUCUCUAUCCAAAGACGUCAUGAUUCCCAACCCAGCCUCUCCCUGUGACGGCACCAGCUUGAGUGGGCAGCCAGGAUGCCGACUGGCUCUCUCCGUGCUGGGGUGGGGUCAGGGCUAUAGCCCACGGAGGAAGCCAGAGGGAGAACUUUAAAGCGGGGCAAAGUCCCAGUUCCCCAGUCCCAUGGGAAUGAACCCCAGUCGGGAGAAACAAGAAGAAACUUUCCUAGAUGGCUUCUCAUGAAGGUGCAGAGCAGGACCCAGCAGCGGCCGGAGACAGGCAGAUCCAGCGUCAGGGCACAGGCCUCGUGACAACAGACCAUGGGCAGGAGAACACACAGGAACGAGGGUGAAGUGGAACAUUCCAGAAACACCACCGCUUGCCACCGUGGGGGACAGUGUGGGACUGCCAGCACCAAGCAUCUGUGAGGAAGGGUCCAGGCUGCCUCUGGGCUUAGAGGCUUCCAACUUCCUGAGGACCCGAUGACUAAAGUGUUGAGCCAUGUAAUAGGUAUCAACUCCACUUCCUCACGCAGGCGAGAGAGGGUCUGCUUGUAGUCACACACGCAGCGUAAGACCAAGCCUUUGACUGUGUCGAAUGGACAGCUUGUCAUCUGCCUGCUGGAAGUUUAAGUUGCAGCAAUUCACUCAUUCCUCAGGCUGUGCAAACACUGAGCUGCUCAUCUCGCCACAAGGGAAGAUUAGUGAUAUGGUUUGGAUUUGUGUCACCCCUAAAUCUCAUGUCAAGUUGGAGGAGGGGCCUGGUGGGAGGUGAUUGAAUCCAAGGGGCCAACUUCCCUUGCUGUUCUCAUCAUAGUGAGAUCUCACGAGAUCUGACGGUUUAAGUGUGUGCAGCACUUCCCCCUUCGCUCUCUCUCUCCUGCUCCACCACAAGAUGUACCUUGCUUCCCCUUCUGCCAUGAUUGUAAGUUUCCUGAGGCUUCCUACCCAUGCUUCCUGUUAAGCCUGUGAAACUGAGUGAAUUAAACCUCU